GUGAAUCAUCGAAUCUUUGAACGCAAAUUGCACUCCCUGGUAGUCCGGUGAGUAUGCCUGUUUGAGGGGCGUUAGAAUAAAAAAUCGAUGCGUCGCUCUUUUUUUUAAGGUUGAUCGCGUCGGAAGUGAGCCGUCUUUCAAAUGUUAAUUCAUGUCAAAGUGGCUUGGAAUUCAUCCAUCCAGUACAAAUGAAACGUAUUUAAAAUCAAUUUUGAUUGAGAACGCU
rnacentral:misc_RNA from 1 species